rnacentral:pre_miRNA from 1 species
GGGAGGAGGCCGGAUCCCGGGCUGUGUCCCCGGCGCCCUGUGCUCCCAGCCUGCGCUGUUGGAUUCGCGCUCCCGCCCCGCAGCCCCCC